rnacentral:rRNA from 1 species
AACGAACGCUGGCGGCAUGCCUAACACAUGCAAGUCGAACGAGACCUUCGGGUCUAGUGGCGCACGGGUGCGUAACGCGUGGGAACCUGCCCUUAGGUUCGGAAUAACUCCCCGAAAGGGGUGCUAAUACCGGAUAAUGUCUUCGGACCAAAGAUUUAUCGCCUUUGGAUGGGCCCGCGUUGGAUUAGCUAGUUGGUAGGGUAAAAGCCUACCAAGGCGACGAUCCAUAGCUGGUCUGAGAGGAUGAUCAGCCACACUGGGACUGAGACACGGCCCAGACUCCUACGGGAGGCAGCAGUGGGGAAUAGUGGACAAUGGGCGAAAGCCUGAUCCAGCAAUGCCGCGUGAGGGAUGAAGGCCUUAGGGGUGUAAAGCUCUUUUACCCGGGAUGAUAAUGACAGUACCGGGAGAAUAAGCACCGGCUAACUCCGUGC